UACGUAGGGGGCAAGCGUUGUCCGGAUUACUGGGCGUAAAGAGCGUGUAGGCGGCCAAGCAGGUCCGUUGUGAAAACUGGAGGCUUAACCUCCAGACGUCGACGGAAACCGCGUGGCUAGAGUCCGGAAGAGGAGAGUGGAAUUCCUGGUGUAGCGGUGAAAUGCGCAGAUAUCAGGAAGAACACCAAUGGCGAAGGCAGCUCUCUGGGACGGUACUGACGCUGAGACGCGAAAGCGUGGGGAGCGAACAGG
rnacentral:rRNA from 1 species